UACAGAGACUGCAAGCGUUAUUCGGAUUCACUGGGCGUAAAGGGUGCGCAGGCGGCCGGGUGUGUCAGAUGUGAAAUCCCGAGGCUCAACCUCGGAACUGCGUCUGAAACUACUCGGCUAGAGUACUGGAGAGGGUAACGGAAUUCACGGUGUAGCAGUGAAAUUCGUAGAUAUCGGGAGGAACACCAGUGGCGAAGGCGGCUUGCUGGCUCGUAACUGACGCUGAGACGCGAAAGCGUGGGGAGCAAACAGG
rnacentral:rRNA from 1 species